rnacentral:rRNA from 1 species
CCUACGGGAGGCAGCAGUAGGGAAUAUUGCUCAAUGGAGGAAACCCUGAAGCAGCAACGCCGCGUGGGGGAUGAAGGUUUUCGGAUUGUAAACUCCUGUUGUUAGAGAAGAUAAUGACGGUAUCUAACGAAUAAGCACCGGCUAACUCCGUUCCAGCAGCCGCGGUAAUACGGAGGGUGCAAGCGUUACGCGGAAUCACUGGGCGGAAAGAGCGCGUAGGCGGGAUAGCAAGUCAGAUGUGAAAUGCUAUGGGCUAACCAUAGAACUGCAUUUGAAACUGUUAGUCUAGAGUAUGGGAGAGGUAGGUGGAAUUCUUGGUGUAGGGGUAAAAUCCGUAGAGAUAAAGAGGAAUACUCAUUGCGAAGGCGACCUGCUAGAACAUAACUGACGCUGAUGCGCGAAAGCGUGGGGAGCAAACAGGAUUAGAUACCCCUGUAGUC